GAUGAACGCUGGCGGCGUGCCUAAUACAUGCAAGUCGAGCGAACGGACGAGAAGCUUGCUUCUCUGAUGUUGCCGCGGACGGGGGAGUAACAAGUUGAUAACCUAACUUAAAGACCGGGGUUACCUUGGGAAACCCGAACCAAUUCCCGAAAAAUUUUUUAACCCCAUGGUUUAAAAAUUUAAAACCGUCCUGCCUUUCCUUUAUAAAGGGACCGCGCUGCAUUAGCUAGUUGGUAAGGUAACGGCUUACCAAGGCAACGAUGCAUAGCCGACCUGAGAGGGUGAUCGGCCACACUGGAACUGAGACACGGUCCAGACUCCUACGGGAGGCAGCAGUAGGGAAUCUUCCGCAAUGGGCGAAAGCCUGACGGAGCAACGCCGCGUGAGUGAUGAAGGUCUUCGGAUCGUAAAACUCUGUUAUUAGGGAAGAACAUAUGUGUAAGUAACUGUGCACAUCUUGACGGUACCUAAUCAGAAAGCCACGGCUAACUACGUG
rnacentral:rRNA from 1 species